GUGAGUAGCUCAUCCCUAAUGAAGAUUAGGCUAUUUAUUUGCAUAUUUAUCACAAUUUCAUGAACUUGCUCUUUUUUUUCAGGUCUUUAAGGCAGUACAUAAAAAGUCUGGAAAAACGGUCGCCAUCAAAAAGAUGGAAAAGAAAAAUAUUUUGCAAAGUCAUAUGAUUAACAGACUUUACCUGGAAAGGGACAUAUUAAGGCUGGUGAGGAUUAGAAGGAACCCUUUCCUGGUGAGCUUAUUCUGCUCCUUCCAGAGAGAACACCAUGUAUACAUAGCCAUGGAGUUUGCUGCUGGAGGAAAUUUGGAAUCCCGGUUGAAGAACGGAGCACUGCCCCCAAGCGACACUUUGUAAGUAUCAUUGGGUCACUUUGGUACAUUCACAUGGGCUUGUAGUACUGCACUUUCUUCUUAUAGAUACAUCUUCCACAUUUGUAAAUGCAACUGAAAUAUGUGUUUUGUCUUGCAGAUUCUAUGCCGCCUGCAUCGUUCUUGGGAUUAAGUUUUUACAUGAAUAUCGCAUUGUCCACCGAGAUUUAAAGCCUGCAAAUAUUGUCCUAGACAGUGAUGGAUAUGCCAAAAUUGCAGAUUUUGGGUUGUGCAAAGCAGGUAUUGGCUACAGAGAUGAAAUGACCUACCCAUGUGGAACGGAGUGUUACUGGGCUCCAGAAAUGUUUGCAGAAAGAAACUACAGGAGAAGCGUGGACUGGUGGGCUUUAGGCAUAAUCAUCUAUAAAAUGGCCGUUGGCUACGUGAGUAUAAAGCCGUCACUAAUAAUCCCAUUAGGUUCUACAAUGCUGUCUAUUUACUUUAUUCUAUUGAAGAGACUCAAAUUGUAAAGAUCUCACUCUGCUCCAUCACCCGCCCAGACCCGCUCCCUGCUUGAAAUAUUGGCUCUGCCGGGUGAAGGAAACAGUGGGCACGGGGGUCCCGAGGGGGUUUGUGGCUGGAGGGGGCACAGAAUACUUUUUGACUGGGGGCCCAGAGGUUUUUUUAUUGGGUCCCUGAAUCAACAGGACCAGCGGUCACUGGGUCCGCCAGUCCAAUGUUGUGUUCCAGUGAAAUAUUCCAUAAAAUCUCUUUCAAUUUCCCAGACAAAUUGCCAUUAGAAUUUCACUAAUAACAACUCCUGCCCCGGAGUAAUACCGUCGUUCUUUUCUCAGAAUACCCGAGUUCCUGACUUGAUAUCUUUCUAUUUUUGCAGGUGCCUUUUACCGGAAAUAAUUUUGGAGAAUUGCGGGAAAAUGUCUUCCAUGAAGAACCCGAACUUCCAGCCAAUCUGGAUAAUGAAACCAGUAUGGUGAUAAAACUGCUCUUAGACAAAGACUGUAUAAGCCGGCUCGGAUCACUUAGAAACGAUGGAGAAGAAGUGAUGAAUUGUAGCUACUUUGAUCCAAUAAUGUGGGAAGCUCUUAUGGCCAAGCAAGUGCGAGCCCCAUUCAUCCCUAGCCCGGAUGAUACUAGAGAAGAGGACAGUGAGGGGGGGAUUGUAACCCCCCAUGACUCUAUGUCCCAAAUAUCCCCAACUGCACAAAAGGCCUUCAGAGGAUUUGAUGAGUUCCCUGAAAACUCCUGAAACUGAUGCCAACGAUGUACUGACGGAAAAUGAGCAAAACUCCCAGAAGCCAGAAGAAUAUUUAUGUUUUUAUACAGCUU